GAUGAACGCUGGCGGCGUGCCUAAUACAUGCAAGUCGAGCGAACAGACGAGGAGCUUGCUCCUCUGACGUUAGCGGCGGACGGGUGAGUAACACGUGGAUAACCUACCUAUAAGACUGGGAUAACUUCGGGAAACCGGAGCUAAUACCGGAUAACAUGUUGAACCGCAUGGUUCAACAGUGAAAGACGGUUUUGCUGUCACUUAUAGAUGGAUCCGCGUCGCAUUAGCUAGUUGGUAAGGUAACGGCUUACCAAGGCAACGAUGCGUAGCCGACCUGAGAGGGGGUCGGCCCAAACGGAAACUGAAACACGGUCCAGAACCCGAGGGGGGGCAGCAGUGGGAAAUCUUCCGCAAGGGGGGAAAGCCGGACGGAGAAACGCCGGGUGGGGGAAGAAGGUCUCCGGAUCGUAAAACUCUUUUAUUAGGGAAAAAAAAAUGUGAAAGUAACUAUCCACGUUUGGACGGUACCUAAUCAAAAAGCCACGGCUAACUACGU
rnacentral:rRNA from 1 species